CAAGUCGAGCGAUUUACUUCGGUAAAGAGCGGCGGACGGGUGAGUAACGCGUGGGUAACCUGCCCUGUACACACGGAUAACAUACCGAAAGGUAUGCUAAUACGAGAUAAUAUGCUUUUAUCGCAUGGUAGAAGUAUCAAAGCUCCGGCGGUACAGGAUGGACCCGCGUCUGAUUAGCUAGUUGGUGAGGUAACGGCUCACCAAGGCGACGAUCAGUAGCCGACCUGAGAGGGUGAUCGGCCACAUUGGAACUGAGACACGGUCCAAACUCC
rnacentral:rRNA from 1 species